UUUUAUUAUUUAUUUUAUUUUAUUUUAUUUUAUUUUAUUUUAUUUUAUUUAUUUCACCAUGGUAAUUCCAAAUUAACAACCUGAGUGUGUUUUUUGUGGGAUUUUGGAAUUUGGCCGGAGGGGGGACCUUGCCAGCGCUUUUGGGGAAUUUUUUUUUAAUUUAUUUUGUGACUAUUUUGGGGUUAGCCCAGUGCUUUUUGGGAUUUAUUUUGGGAAUUUUCUGGGGCUAUUCUGGUGCUUUUUGGGAUUUAUUUUGGGAAAUUUUUGGGGCUAUUCUGGUGCUUUUUGGGAUUUACUUUGGGAUUUUUCUGGGGCUAUUCUGGUGCUUUUUGGGAUUUGUUUUGGUAUGUUUUUGGGGUUAUUCUGGCAUUUUUUUGGGGUUUAUUUUGGGAUUUAUUUUUGGGUUUAUUUUGGGAUGUUUCUGGGGCUGUUCCGGCGAAGUUUGGGGUUUAUUUUGGGGUGUUUUUUGGGAUAUUUUGGGGCUGUUCUGGCGCAGUUUGGGGUUUAUUUUGGGNNNNNNNNNNGGGAGGCACCGCGGGGGAUCCCAAAUCCCUUUAGGAUUUCUGGCUGGGCUCGCACUGGGGUUACUUGAAAUGAAGUUUUGGGGGCGGAUCGAGGAGCGCUAGAAUUUUUCCCACGUCUCAAGGCAAUAGGAUUAAUUAAUGAAUGAAUUAAUUAACGUGUAAUUAAACUGUAAACUGUAGAUACUCCUAGGACGGGAAAUUGAUGCCGAUUAUUUUAUUUUGUAUCGUUUUUCCCUUUUUGUGUUGUUUUUCCCCUUUGACCUCCUUUGCUUUCCCCCAGUGUUUCAAUAAAUUUAUUUUUUAGGAUUCCUAAAAAUGGCA
rnacentral:lncRNA from 1 species